GUGAGGAAUAUUGCGCAAUGGACGACAGUCUGACGCAGCGACGCCGCGUGGGGGAUGAAGGCCUUCGGGUUGUAAACCCCUUUCAGGAGGGAAGAUGGGACGGGUAACCGUUCGGACGGUACCUCCAGAAGCAGCCACGGCUAACUCUGUGCCAGCAGCCGCGGUAAGACAGAGGUGGCAAGCGUUGUUCGGAUUUACUGGGCGUAAAGAGUGCGUAGGUGGUGAGGUAAGAUCUGUGGGAAAGACCUGGGCUUAACCCAGGAAGGUCGCAGAUGACUGCCUCGCUUGAGGACGGGAGAGGAGAGCGGAAUUCCCGGUGUAGCGGUGAAAUGCGUAGAGAUCGGGAAGAAGGCCGGUGGCGAAGGCGGCUCUCUGGAACGUUCCUGACACUGAGGCACGAAAGCGUGGGGAGCAAACAGGAUUAGAAACCCCGGUAGUCC
rnacentral:rRNA from 1 species